CAGGACUCCAAACUGCAGGAAAGCAUGGCUGAACCUCUGAUCAUAUGAGCCACCAGAGCCCCACCUAUGAUUAGAAGUAUAUAUCCUGCUGAUUCUGUUCCUCUAUCAACCCCUGGCUAACAGUCUGUGGAUCAGGACAUAGCUCUCAGCUACUCCUCCAGUGUCAUACACGCCAGCAUGCUCCCUGCUACGAUGAUAAUGGACUACCUCUGAUACUGUGAGCAAGACCCCACUUAAGUGCUUACCUUUUUAAGAGUUGUCUUGGUCAUGGAGUCUCUUCACAGCAAAAGAACAAUGACAAAGACAUUCACCACUUAUACAUGAACUUCUAUAAAUAAGUGAACUAUGUGCCCAGCCCAGUCUUAUGGGACAUAAAAUCCUAAAUAUGACAAACUGCAUAGCUCACGUUCACAUCAAGAAGUAGAAAAGAAUCAUCUAGAGGAGACACAGCUUUUGCUUUGUAACACAGAUGUAUGAAAACUGCAUCCUAAAACGAUAUCAAAGGAACGGCCCUGACGAUGGAUUUCCUACACGCCUCAUUGCAAUGUGCUCAUCUUUAUCUGGACAAAACAAAACUGAUCUCACUUUCACUCUCAAAUUAGAACUGAUUCGCAAGUAUAAGACUUUAGGAUAGUGUUGUUCAGGGGACCCCACCACUCUCUAGGACUUACACACUGCUAAUGGCUGAUGGAGGAAGGAGAAACAUUCUGCUGUGUAGCCACUGGUAAGGUGUCCGUGUGGGAAAAAAAAAACCUUUCUAAAAAUCUUCUCUUUUUUGCCCUAGCUAAUAUAAAAUGGGAUAUUUGUAUGGUGCUAGGCUUUCUCAUCAUCCAGGCCUAUCAGUCGCAAGGGAUAGCAAGUUUCCAAAGAGAGCUUAGCGUCAGGACCCCACCUAGUUACAGGAGGGAUGAACUCCAUGGGUUCAUCUGGAUGUCAGGUGAUUCAAAGACAUGAAGCUGACCUCUAACUUCUGUAUCGCUCACUCUUUCCUCAUCAGCAUCCAUCCCAGGUGACCUCGGCUAGCUGAGCUUCAAGCCCUUCUGAAUCCCAUGGCAUCAGGUGUAGCUGUCCCAUGCAGAAAAAGGGAAGGAAUGGGGAUGGGGAGGUGGGCGGUACAGAGAACCCUCUUGCUAAGUUUCCAAAAGUCAGUUCUUUUCCUCUUACUUAGAAAACCCAGUGAUUUACUUCCUAUUGACUCUCCACUGCUGAAACACGCUUGUCUGAAACCUGGAGUAGCCCCAUUUUGCACUGGUGUUUCAGUCUUUUGUGGCUUUGCUUUUUUCUGGCAAACCACUAAGAUUGCUUGGCUAUGCACACCUUUGCUGGGUGUGGUUACCAUACUGUACUGUACUACAGUGCACUUGCAAAAAGAUGUCAUGAGAGAAAGAGCCUCUGUACACUGAUCUAAUGUCAUCCGCCUCCAAAAUGCCUUAACUGUAUUGGCAAAAAAAAAAGCAUUUCUUAUUUUUUUAGCGCGGCCAUAACUGGAUUGUUAGAGUAGCAUCGUUAAAAGGAUAAUGACAGUCUUAGCCUCAAAUAGAUUUUCUUAAAAUGAUUGCUUUGCCCUGUGGGUACUGGCAAGGCAGUGGGGAAAUUCUGUCAGGGUCAGCAGGUCCGUGGAUGCUGCUUACCACAAGACUGUCUGAUCCUCUCCCUCCUUUUCCUUAUCUAGGAACAAUAUCUAGUUUUAGAUAUCAAUCCUUGUGCUCAUGCCUUUAUCAUUAUCCUUUUUUAUUUUAAUUGUCAAUGCUUGGUUUUCCUACUAGACCAAGAGUCAUGGUUUCAUUUUUUUUUUUUUUCAUCUUGAUGGGUGUUUUCUUAUCCUGGGAGUCAAACACACAUUGAUUUUAAGAAUAUCACCAUCGCAGAAGUUGACAGCCGGGCUAUGAAACCACAGGUCUGUAUAUGGCACGCAUCUUUCCUUAGGGAAAGCUAAGCAGCUUGGCCAAGGCCUGUAAGCUGGUCGAGAGUGGAACCCAGCUGUUCAGGUUGCCCAGCUCGGCUGUCACUCCACCAGUCUGGGUCUGGAGGAUGAAGACAUCACCCUGGGUUCUUCGUUGGCCUGAGGCUGUAGGUAGGAAUCUCUGUGGAACUGAAACUUGACUCUGAAAAAGUAAGGUGUUUGAAAGAACGGGAAUCUAACAAGAGGUCAUAGGUACUGACUUGACAUAGAGCUCUGGAGGAAAAGGCUCAAAAGAGACCCCUGCAGAAUGGAAACUGCUGAGCAGGGAACUUUAAGCUUUAAAAAAAAAAAUGUAUAUAUGCAUGUGUCUGCAUGUGUGUAAUGUGUUUGUGUGAGUGUGUGCGUGCGUGCACAUGAGGGCUUUUGUAAAAGUCAGAGGGCAACUUGCAAGAACCAAUUUUCUCCUUCUACCGUGUGGAUGCCAAGGAUUGAAUUCAGGUCAUCAGGCUUGGUGGCAGGCAGCUGGACCAGCAGGACCAACUCUCUGACCCUGGAUAAGAAAGUUUAUCACCACCUUUCUCUCUUCGUUGGGCAAAGAGGAUACUGUUUGAAGAAUUGGUUUAUACAGGAGUAAAACCAGAGUCUAUAUUAAUUGUUUUAUUUGUUUUCUAAAUAAUUCAUGCCAAGACAGCCCUUUAACUAUGCCUGAGAACUAAGUACGCUUAAUUCCUGUGGCACUCGGUAGUUCAACAGUGAUGUGGGCACAGCGUUUGGAAGGCCUUUACUGAAUUCUGUUGAUGCUGGGCUUCAGCUAAUGUCCUUAGAUUGACAGACCACCUUGUCAAACCCACCUGAAGUUAUUAAACUAAUGGUUUACAUAACGGAACACAAAGCUGCUCCCUCCUUGCCUCUGUUUAGAAGAAUGUUUGACACACCAGAUCAAGUCUGUGGGCACUCUGCUUCUCCCCUAAGUAGCGUAGGGAGGAUGGAUGGAGGCAAAUUGAAACACUUCUCUGCUGUGUUACCUUUUCAACCCAUUUGUUUACCAUUUAUCAACCACUUACACUUUACAAAGAGAAAUCCCCCACAAUUUAUUGCUUGGGAAGACGAUGCAGAGAGGAUGAGAGAAUCACUAAUAUAUUGAUGGAGAAGUAUGUUGUUAAUACAGAGUGCUAUUGAAAUGCAUCAUGGAGAGUAGCCUCUUCAAGGUCAUUGCCCGGGAAGAUACUAGACAGCUGGCUGCCUUGUUCUUCAUCUAACAGACCCUGCAUACAAAGCCUGAAUAGAGUGUGUCUUUAACCCCACUUAGAAUCCUGAGAAAAGGUCCCUACUUAUCUCCAGACAAUGGACUAGCUCCAUUUAACAAAGGAAAAAAAAUAUUAGAGAGCAGUGUAAGUCUUAAGGAGCAAAAGAAUCACCAGGAAUCUUACUAAAAAGAAAGUUGGGGUUCAGAAAGUCUGGGAUGAACUCUGAGAUGUUGUACACUUCUGGGUGAUGCUGAUGCUACUGGUCUAAGAUGUACUGGCUAAAAGGAUGUGCUGAGAUGUAUGGACUUGUGUAGGACUUCAACAGCAGGAAAAGACAAUCUCUAAAGAAAGACAGCAUUUUCCAUUUGUCUGGCAUCCAAAAUACAAAAAUAAAACAUUCACAUACAGGUGCCUAGAAAGAAAAAGUGUAAUUGAACUUUGCUUUGGGCCACCAGCUCAAAAAUAAUGACCUGAAGACAUAUUAUUAAUCAUGAAAGCUCGGCCUUAGCUUAGGCUUGUCCUACUAGCUCUUAUCAUUUAAAUUAACCAACUUAUAUUAAUCUGUUUUGCCUCCUGACUUUUACCUUUCUUUAAUUCUGUGUGUCUGAUUCCCUCCUGUCUCUUUGGCAUCUCUCCGGCAUAAUUGCAUGCCUAGAGUCCUUCUCCUCUUCCUCUCUCUCCCCAGAAAUCCCACCUAUCUCUCCUGCCUCUCUAUUGGCCAUCCUGUUCUUUAUUAAACCAAUCAGAAGGCACCUUAGGCAGAGACACAUCUGUACAGUAUAUUCAAAUAUUCUGCAUCAAAAAGGGACAUAUAUAGAAUUAGAGUUUAGGAAAAGAAUAGUAUUUGAGAAGCCCUGGCAUGUGUCAUUUGAUGUCAUGAGUGCAGAUAAUUCCAUAGUUUAUCAAACUCAUAGUCAUUAUAGAUGAAAUAUACAGAAGAGACCCCACACAUCUUAGUUCUGGGUACGUUAUCAUCCUUAAUACAUUAUCAUCCAUUUUCCGUGUUUCAUUCAGUUCAUUAGUCCAUUCAUUCAUUUGCUUCUUUCUCUGCUUACCCUACUACAUUUCUGAUGUAUUCUGUCUCUAACAUGUUGGGCGUCUAUCCUUUCAUUUAGGCGAUUGUUAUUACAUAAGGCGUAUCAUUUCUGUACGAACUGCAAUUGAGGUUCAAGCAUGCACCCGGGAAGGUAAAAUAACCUUUUGAUGACAAAGCUUUCUGAUCGUACGUGAAUGUGUUCACCUGUGUAACCAAAUCAAGACCCAGAGAAUUUCUGUACAGUUCUCAGCAUGCCUUUGAUUUACAGCGGUGACCCCCCCCCCCCACACACACACAGGAGAGAGCAUUGACUGGACUUUGCCUCACUUCACAGCACAGUGGUUUUUUUUUUUUUUUUUUUUUCAGCGUUGAGGUAUUUACUCCAACUACUUCUUAGGAUUAGGUCUGUGUAGCUGCCACCUUUCAUUUGAUGUUUCCCAACAAAGGACGUCUAAAUUGAUUCCAACCUCUUACCAUGCAUAAUGCUAGAACAAACACCCUCAUUUCUUUCAUGGGUCCGCAUAAGAUGUUUUUGGCUGGUAUACACAACCAGAGGAGCAAGUGCUGGGCUGCACAGCGUGUACCCGUGUACACUUUAGGACUUACCAGAGCGUUUUGUCCACCUGCGCUUGCAAAAAAGUCUCUUUUGUUGUGAAUAUUGGUGGACCUAGACAGCCACGAGUCACUAAGGUUAACUGUGGAGUCAGCCUGGAAAACUCCUAACAACUAUGAAGAAUAAGACAAUGAAGAAGAUAAAAAUCUCAGCCCCCGGGGAAUUUAUUUAAUAGGUAAUUAAAACCGUUAGGUGGCGGAGGUCACUUAGGAAGAAUGAGUGGGAAAGAAAACAAACAGAAUUUAAAAAGAAGAAAAACACUGUUCUGAGGGAUGUCUGUAGUUGGUUUUGUUUGUUGUUGUUGCUGUUGUUUUGGGGGUUUUGUUUGUUUGUUUUUUAACUUUUUGGGGGCCCACUACCCAACUCCCAAAUAAAUACCUGGAGACUUA